CAUCUAAUAUAUUUUUAUUAUUUUAUUAAAAAUUUAUUUUAAUCAAAAUUUAAAUUAAUUAAAAUAUAUAAAAUAAAUUUUGAUGCAUGUUAAUGGCUACGGAUAUGAUUAAGCAAAUAGAUUACAACAAUUUAAUCAUAGCUCGUAUUGUAACGCCACUCCGUCUCCUCGCUUGCAGUGGCAUCAACAAUCCAACGCUAAAAAAUCCGACUCCGGCGGUGGAAUCCCGAGUCCAACUCUUAGG
rnacentral:lncRNA from 1 species